rnacentral:rRNA from 1 species
GAUGUUAGCGGCGGACGGGUGAGUAACACGUGGGUAACCUGCCUGUAAGACUGGGAUAACUCCGGGAAACCGGGGCUAAUACCGGAUGGUUGUUUGAACCGCAUGGUUCAGACAUAAAAGGUGGCUUCGGCUACCACUUACAGAUGGACCCGCGGCGCAUUAGCUAGUUGGUGAGGUAACGGCUCACCAAGGCGACGAUGCGUAGCCGACCUGAGAGGGUGAUCGGCCACACUGGGACUGAGACACGGCCCAGACUCCUACGGGAGGCAGCAGUAGGGAAUCUUCCGCAAUGGACGAAAGUCUGACGGAGCAACGCCGCGUGAGUGAUGAAGGUUUUCGGAUCGUAAAGCUCUGUUGUUAGGGAAGAACAAGUGCCGUUCAAAUAGGGCGGCACCUUGACGGUACCUAACCAGAAAGCCACGGCUAACUACGUGCCAGCA